rnacentral:rRNA from 1 species
AGCGAACGCUGGCGGCAGGCCUAACACAUGCAAGUCGAACGAACUCUUCGGAGUUAGUGGCGGACGGGUGAGUAACACGUGGGAACGUGCCUUUAGGUUCGGAAUAACUCAGGGAAACUUGUGCUAAUACCGAAUGUGCCCUUCGGGGGAAAGAUUUAUCGCCUUUAGAGCGGCCCGCGUCUGAUUAGCUUGUUGGUGAGGUAAAGGCUCACCAAGGCGACGAUCAGUAGCUGGUCUGAGAGGAUGAUCAGCCACAUUGGGACUGGGACACGGCCCAAACUCCUACGGGAGGCAGCAGUGGGGAAUUUUGCGCAAUGGGCGAAAGCCUGACGCAGCCAUGCCGCGUGAAUGAUGAAGGUCUUAGGAUUGUAAAAUUCUUUCACCGGGGACGAUAAUGACGGUACCCGGAGAAGAAGCCCCGGCUAACUUCGUGCCAGCCGCCGCCGUAA